UAAUGCUUCUCUAACUGUAAU
ensembl:piRNA 21ur-5989 ncRNA